rnacentral:rRNA from 1 species
UGGGGAAUAUUGCACAAUGGGCGCAAGCCUGAUGCAGCCAUGCCGCGUGUGUGAAGAAGGCCUUCGGGUUGUAAAGCACUUUCAGCGAGGAGGAAGGUGGUGAGCUUAAUACGCUCAUCAAUUGACGUUACUCGCAGAAGAAGCACCGGCUAACUCCGUGCCAGCAGCCGCGGUAAUACGGAGGGUGCAAGCGUUAAUCGGAAUUACUGGGCGUAAAGCGCACGCAGGCGGUUUGUUAAGUCAGAUGUGAAAUCCCCGGGCUCAACCUGGGAACUGCAUUUGAAACUGGCAAGCUAGAGUCUCGUAGAGGGGGGUAGAAUUCCAGGUGUAGCGGUGAAAUGCGUAGAGAUCUGGAGGAAUACCGGUGGCGAAGGCGGCCCCCCUGGACGAAGACUGACGCUCAGGUGCGAAAGCGUGGGGCAGCAAACAGGAUUAGAUACCCUGGUAGUCCAGCGCUGUAAACGAUGUCGACUUUGGAGGUUGUGCCCUUGAGGCGUGGCUUCCGGAGCUAACGNGUUAAAUCGACCGCCUGGGGAGUACGGCCGCAAGGUU